AAGAGAGGGGAAUGAUAACCGUAGAUAGUAGGUGCGUAAGCUUAAAAUUAUGCCUGCUGAGGUGAGAACAUAAAAUAAUAUAUAUUAUUAUUUAGUUUACACUUUGUUUACGGGAAGUGUAAACUUUUUAGAUUUAUUG
rfam:Clostridiales bacterium GWE2_32_10 gwe2_scaffold_2523, whole genome shotgun sequence.